rnacentral:rRNA from 1 species
GAUGAACGCUGGCGGCGUGCCUAAUACAUGCAAGUCGAGCGAACAGACGAGGAGCUUGCUCCUCUGACGUUAGCGGCGGACGGGUGAGUAACACGUGGAUAACCUACCUAUAAGACUUGGAUAACUUCGGGAAACCGGAGCUAAUACCGGAUAAUAUAUUGAACCGCAUGGUUCAAUAGUGAAAGACGGUUUUGCUGUCACUUAUAGAUGGAUCCGCGCCGCAUUAGCUAGUUGGUAAGGUAACGGCUUACCAAGGCAACGAUGCGUAGCCGACCUGAGAGGGUGAUCGGCCACACUGGAACUGAGACACGGUCCAGACUCCUACGGGAGGCAGCAGUAGGGAAUCUUCCGCAAUGGGCGCAAGCCUGACGGAGCAACGCCGCGUGAGUGAUGAAGGUCUUCGGAUCGUAAAACUCCGUUAUUAGGGAAGAACAAAUGUGUAAGUAACUAUGCACGUCUUGACGGUACCUAAUCAGAAAGCCACGGCUAACUACGUG